rnacentral:rRNA from 1 species
UACGUAGGGUGCGAGCGUUGUCCGGAAUUAUUGGGCGUAAAGAGCUUGUAGGCGGUUUGUCGCGUCUGCCGUGAAAAUCCGAGGCUCAACCUCGGACUUGCGGUGGGUACGGGCAGACUAGAGUGUGGUAGGGGAGACUGGAAUUCCUGGUGUAGCGGUGAAAUGCGCAGAUAUCAGGAGGAGCACCGAUGGCGAAGGCAGGUCUCUGGGCCACUACUGACGCUGAGAAGCGAAAGCAUGGGGAGCGAACAGG